UCCGUAGGGGGCAAUCGUUGUCCGGAAUUAUUGGGCGUAAAGCGCGCGCAGGCGGUCUCUUAAGUCUGAUGUGAAAGCCCACGGCUCAACCGUGGAGGGUCAUUGGAAACUGGGAGACUGGAGUAUAGGAGAGGAAAGUGGAAUUCCACGUGUAGCGGUGAAAUGCGUAGAGAUGUGGAGGAACACCAGUGGCGAAGGCGACUUUCUGGCCUAUUACUGACGCUGAGGCGCGAAAGCGUGGGGAGAGAACAGG
rnacentral:rRNA from 1 species